rnacentral:rRNA from 1 species
UUGGAGGGCAAGUCUGGUGCCAGCAGCCGCGGUAAUUCCAGCUCCAAUAGCGUAUAUUAAAGUUGUUGCAGUUAAAAAGCUCGUAGUUGAAUUUCGGGAUCAAUAUGCCGGUCAUGCCUUGGUAUGCACUGGUAUCUUUGAUUUCUCCCUUCUGACGAACUUUGAUGUCAUUAAUUUGGUGUCAUAGGGAAUCAGGACUGUUACUUUGAAAAAAUUAGAGUGUUUAAAGCAAGCUCACGCUUGAAUACAUUAGCAUGGAAUAAUGAAAUAGGACGUUUGAUUCUAUUUUGUUGGCUUCUAGGAUCGACGUAAUGAUUAAUAGGGAUAGUUGGGGGCAUUAGUAUUCAAUUGUCAGAGGUGAAAUUCUUGGAUUUAUUGAAGACUAACUACUGCGAAAGCAUUUGCCAAGGAUGUUUUCAUUAAUCAAGAACGAAAGUUAGGGGAUCGAAGACGAUCAGAUACCGUCGUAGUCUUAACCAUAAACUAUGCCGACUAGGGAUCGGAUGAUGUUAAUUUUUUAAUGACUCAUUCGGCGCCUUACGGGAAAC